rnacentral:tRNA from 1 species
CCCUUCUUAGUUUAGUGGCUAGAACGUUCGGCUGUAGACCGAAAGGUCCCCGGUUCAAAUCCGGGAGAGGGGA